AUAGGGAGAGCCUGGUUGGCCUCCACAGAGCUCGCGAGUCACCGAUGAGGUUCCUCCGAAAUUUUUCAGACCUUUGCCAAAUGAUGUAGCAAAGAAUUCCAUCAUGCAAGUCUAGGACCAAUUAAAUCCCUUAUGAAUGUAACAUUUUCUGGAGAAGGCUCCAACACCUUAGUGAUGGUAUCACUCUUGUGACAUACAAUAUUGUAUAGAGAUGUAUAUUGUUUC